AUUGAACGCUGGCGGCAGGCCUAACACAUGCAAGUCGAGCGAGCGGCGGACGGGUGAGUAAUGUCUGGGAAUCUGCCUGAUGGCGGGGGAUAACUACUGGAAACGGUAACUAAUACCGCAUACCAUCAGAUGAACCCAGAUGGGAUUAGCUUGUGGGUGGGGUAACGGCUCACCUAGGCGACGAUCCCUAGCUGGUCUGAGAGGAUGAUCAGCCACACUGGGACUGAGACACGGCCCAGACUCCUACGGGAGGCAGCAGUGGGGAAUAUUGCACAAUGGGCGCAAGCCUGAUGCAGCCAUGCCGCGUGUAUGAAGAAGGCCUUCGGGUUGUAAAGUACUUUCAGUCGGGAGGCGUUACCGACAGAAGAAGCACCGGCUAACUCCGUGCCAGCAGCCGCGGUAAUUC
rnacentral:rRNA from 1 species